CCUACGGGGUGCAGCAGUGGGGAAUUUUCCGCAAUGGGCGGAAGCCUGAUGCAGCCAUGCCGCGUGUGUGAAGAAGGCCUUCGGGUUGUAAAGCACUUUCAGUAGGGAGGAAGGUAGUGUAGUUAACACCUGCACUAUUUGACGUUACCUACAGAAGAAGCACCGGCUAACUCCGUGCCAGCAGCCGCGGUAAUACGGAGGGUGCGAGCGUUAAUCGGAAUUACUGGGCGUAAAGCGCAUGCAGGCGGCCUGUUAAGUCAGAUGUGAAAGCCCGGGGCUUAACCUCGGAAUUGCAUUUGAAACUGGCAGGCUAGAGUCUUGUAGAGGGGGGUAGAAUUUCAGGUGUAGCGGUGAAAUGCGUAGAGAUCUGAAGGAAUACCAGUGGCGAAGGCGGCCCCCUGGACAAAGACUGACGCUCAGAUGCGAAAGCGUGGGGAGCAAACAGGAUUAGAUACCCUAGUAGUC
rnacentral:rRNA from 1 species